rnacentral:rRNA from 1 species
GUGGGGAAUCUUAGACAAUGGGGGAAACCCUGAUCUAGCCAUGCCGCGUGAGCGAUGAAGGCCUUAGGGUUGUAAAGCUCUUUCAGCUGGGAAGAUAAUGACGGUACCAGCAGAAGAAGCCCCGGCUAACUCCGUGCCAGCAGCCGCGGUAAUACGGAGGGGGCUAGCGUUGUUCGGAAUUACUGGGCGUAAAGCGCGCGUAGGCGGACCAGAAAGUUGGAGGUGAAAUCCCAGGGCUCAACCUUGGAACUGCCUUCAAAACUCCUGGUCUGGAGUUCGAGAGAGGUGAGUGGAAUUCCGAGGGUAGAGGUGAAAUUCGUAGAUAUUCGGAGGAACACCAGUGGCGAAGGCGGCUCACUGGCUCGAUACUGACGCUGAGGUGCGAAAGCGUGGGGAGCAAACAGGAUUAGAAACCCGGGUAGUCC